GACAGAGGUGCCGAGCGUUAUCCGGAAUGAUUGGGCGUAAAGCGUCUGUAGGUGGCUUUUUAAGUCCGCCGUCAAAUCCCAGGGCUCAACUCUGGACAGGCGGUGGAAACUACCAAGCUGGAGUACGGUAGGGGCAGAGGGAAUUCCCGGUGUAGCGGUGAAAUGCGCAGAUAUCGGGAAGAACACCCGUGGCGAAGGCGGCUCUCUGGGACGGUACUGACGCUGAGACGCGAAAGCGUGGGGAGCGAACAGG
rnacentral:rRNA from 1 species